AUUGAACGCUGGCGGCAUGCCUUACACAUGCAAGUCGAACGGCAGCACGGGAGCAAUCCUGGUGGCGAGUGGCGAACGGGUGAGUAAUAUAUCGGAACGUGCCCAGUAGUGGGGGAUAACGUAGCGAAAGCUACGCUAAUACAGCAUACGAUCUAUGGAUGAAAGCGGGGGAUCGCAAGACCUCGCGCGAUUGGAGCGGCCGAUAUCAGAUUAGGUAGUUGGUGAGGUAAAGGCUCACCAAGCCGACGAUCUGUAGCUGGUCUGAGAGGACGACCAGCCACACUGGGACUGAGACACGGCCCAGACUCCUACGGGAGGCAGCAGUGGGGAAUUUUGGACAAUGGGCGCAAGCCUGAUCCAGCAAUGCCGCGUGCAGGAUGAAGGCCUUCGGGUUGUAAACUGCUUUUGUACGGAACGAAACGGUGAGCUCUAAUACAGUUUGCUAAUGACGGUACCGUAAGAAUAAGCACCGGCUAACUACGUGCCAGCCGCCGCUGUAA
rnacentral:rRNA from 1 species